rnacentral:rRNA from 1 species
CCUACGGGAGGCAGCAGUGAGGAAUAUUGGUCAAUGGACGAGAGUCUGAACCAGCCAAGUAGCGUGAAGGAUGACUGCCCUAUGGGUUGUAAACUUCUUUUAUAUGGGAAUAAAACGUUCCACGUGUGGGAUUUUGUAUGUACCAUAUGAAUAAGGAUCGGCUAACUCCGUGCCAGCAGCCGCGGUAAUACGGAGGAUCCGAGCGUUAUCCGGAUUUAUUGGGUUUAAAGGGAGCGUAGGUGGAUUGUUAAGUCAGUUGUGAAAGUUUGCGGCUCAACCGUAAAAUUGCAGUUGAAACUGGCAGUCUUGAGUACAGUAGAGGUGGGCGGAAUGCGUGGUGUAGCGGUGAAAUGCUUAGAUAUCACGAAGAACGCCGAUUGCGAAGGCAGUUCACUGGACUGCAACUGACACUGAGGCUCGAAAGUGUGGGUAUCAAACAGGAUUAGAUACCCUUGUAGUC